UAGGAAAUGGUGUAGAGGGAGCACUGGAGUUUUUGAUGCUCUGGGGAUGGGUUCAAUUCCCAUUUUCCUAA
rnacentral:tRNA from 1 species